CUGUGUCGUAUGGGAUUACGAGUAACGAGUUAAAUCUGUCUUUGAUUUGUUCGUUAAACUCUUAUUUUCCGAAGGAUAAUUCAACUUAAAUCAGACUCAGUUACCCUUGUCAUCCAGAAGAUAAGCUACGGAACCAGACAGUUAUCUGCCUAACUCUCACUUUCCAUCAUGCUGUUUGCUCAAUUGAGCAGGACUCGAGCUCUGCCUACUGCUGCUUAUGGGCACAAUUUGUUUACUACUAUCAAGGUUGUGCACCUAAAAUCUUUGGAUGCUGACACUGGAGUUCAGUGACAUAUUUUCUGAUGUGUGAAGAAAAGCAUCUACUUUGGGUUGCAAAUCAUCAAGAGCCAGCACUUCUAAAGCCUUCUCGUCUUUACUUAGCCAGCAAAACAUGCAUAUACUUCAAUGCCCUCACUCCAUUGGACCAACAAAUUUUCAUCUUCUUUCUACAUAGCAUCUGCUACUUUGUGUUGUGAACCAUCAAGCACCACCACUUCUGAAGCCUUAUCAUUACUUGGCCAGAAAAACCUGCAUAAACUUCAACGCCAUCACCUAAUUGGACUGACAAUUUUCAUCGUAUUUCUACAUAGCAUCAUCUACUUUGUGUUUCUAACCAUAAAGUGCCACCACUUCUGAAGCCUUAUCAUCUUUACUUGGCCAGCAAAACCUGCAUAAUCUUUAACAACAUCACUUCAUUGGACUGACAAUUUUCAUCGUAUUUCUACAUAGCAUCAUCUACUUUGUGUUUCUAACCAUAAAGUGCCACCACUUCUGAAGCCUUAUCAUCUUUACUUGGCCAGCAAAACCUGCGUAAUCUUUAACAACAUCACUUCAUUGGACCGACAAAUUUUCAUCUUCCUGCUGUAAAAUUCGACGUUGGACGAUUUGCCUGUUUCCCGCUCCCGACGACCAAGAUACGUAAGAAUUAUCUAUUUUCCGUCCAGCUCAUAUUCAACCAUCGACAUUCCGGUUUUCCCGUCUUCUGCUCAGGCUAUUUAAAAUAAUGCCAUGACAUCGCAAAAAGCAGAAAGUGACGUAUCAGGAUGCAGCCUAGCGGAUAGACGACGAACGAAAAGGAUUUCACCGUGGGAGGCCUUGUAUGUAUUGUAUUGUCUUGUUGUUUACUGUAUGUAACUAGUUAACCCGUUGGCUGCCACCCCGUUUGCUCCCAUUUUUUUUGUAGUUGUAGGGACCUGGGCGCUGUUCUCCUCAUGGCCAUGGGGGGAACAGUCGCCGUUGCGCCUAAUGGCUUUAUGCCAUUAGGCGUUAGGCAAUGCACCAGUAGGGACUUCUCUUUGUCGGCACGGUGAGAGAUAUCCUGGGGUGUGCAUUCCCAGAAUGGACUCUAUCACCGUGCCAGCCCGGGCUUGUCUUCGGACAAGCCCCACCUUGGUCGGGGAUCCUUAAGGCACGACGCGUAGCAACUGUAGUUUAAGCAACCUACGGGUUGCGGUGGCCUGGCAGCCAACGGGUUAACUAGUUAGUUGUAUAUGUAUGUUUGUAUGUGUAUUGUAUGUAUUGUAUGUAUUGUAUGUAUUGUA